rnacentral:lncRNA from 1 species
AGACUAGCUUCAUGUUUCACGUAUUUCAAACCUUGUUCCUCCUCUAAUCCCCACUUGCUUUGCUCAUGGGUCCCCUAGGAUAUGCUAAUAGUACUCUGUAAAAUCUGGCCUUCAACCUUUUAGUAAUAUAGUUGGAUGUUUUUGCAAAGGGAGUGAUAGGUAUAUUGCUAGAGCCCAUUCAUGAAGUGGCUUUCUGAUGUGUUCAUUUCACUAGGCUCAAGUAUGGUACUCAGUGACCAAGUCAAUAUAAAUCUAGGUGGUUUGUGAAGGGAUGUUGCAGAAGUAAUUAAAGUUCCUAAUCAGUUGACUUUAAAUUAGGGAAAUUAUCUGGAGAGGGCCUGGCUUAAUCAGUUGAAUGGUUUUAAAAUUGAGCUCAGGCUUUUCCUGAGGGUGAGGGCUUCUGAUUAUGGAACACAGCUUUGGCUCGAGAAGUUCCACAUGAAGUUCCAGUUCCAGUUUGCUCCUGAUCCUCUCCCCUCCCCUCCCCUCCCCUUCCUUUCUUUUUCUUCCAUUCUUUCUUUUCCUUCCCUUUCUCUUUCCUUUUGUUUGUUUUCUUUUCUUUUUUUUCUUUUCUUUCUGACAGGAUUUCACUCUGUUUCCCAUGCUGGAGUGCAGUAACAUGAUCAUAGCUCACUGCAGCCUCAAACUCUCAGGCUCAAGCAAUCUUCCCACCUUGGCCUCCUCAGUAGCUAGGACUACGGGUAUGUGCCACCAUACCUGGCUAAUUUUUUUGGUUUUUCAUAAACAUGAGGUGUCCCUGUGUUGCCCAGGCUGGUCUCAAACUGCUGGCCUCAAGCGAUCCUCCUGCUUUGGCCUCCUAAAGUGAUGGGAUUACACGUGUGAGCCACCAUGCCUGCCCUAAUCUUCCCUUUCUGAUGAGCUGUCUUACAAACUUUGGACUUGCUUAGCCAGUCUGACACAAUUGCAUAAGCCAGGUCCUCGUAAUAUGUCUCUAUAUAUGUGUAUCUAUGUAUGUAUUCAUGAUCGUCAAUCUAUUUUCGUAUUUCCUACUGGUUCUGUUUCUUUGGUUGAACUCUAAUACACCAUUCCAUUAUUAACAACCACAUUAAUACACCAUUCCUAUAUAUAUAUAUAUAUAUAUAUAUUUUUUUUUUUUAGAUGGAGUUUCGCUCUUGUUGCUCAGGCUGGAGUGCAAUGGCACUAUCUCAACUCACUGCAACCUCCACCUCCCAGGUUCAAGCGAUUCACCUGCCCCAGCCUCCCAGAGUAGCUGGGAUUACAGGUGCACGCCACCAUGCCCGGCUAAUUUUUGUAUUUUUAGUAGAGACAGGGUUUCACCAUGUUGGUCAGGCUGGUCUCGAACACCUGACCUCAUGUGAUUCACCCGCCUCGGCCUCCCAAAGUGCUGGGAUUACAGGCUUGAGCCACCGUGCCCGGCCACACCAUUUCCUAUAUUAACAACCAUGUAAAUAUAUUAUUCCACUAAAACCCAAACUAAUGUAUUCCAAACUCAACAUCCCUUUACCCUGAUUCCCCAAAAUGUCCUGGUCAUUCCAACGCCACCUAUCACAAGAGGAGGUACCCCCCAACCCAUCUUGGAGCGGUAGUUGAAAUGGAGAGUCUAAAACAAUUAUGGUUAAAAUAUUAUCUACAGAUUUUAUUUUUAAAAACAUAGCCACGUGAAAACACUGCUAAGGCCCUCCCAGGGCCUUGGAAAGGACCCAUGCAAGGGAGUGGCCCUGAAACUUAAGCCUCAUUAGCGUCACUAUAGAAUCACUCUGAAUGCCAAGCACAGCUUCUGAGAGAAGCCACUUGAAGUGAAACCAGAACAGAUAUUCAAAGAUGAGUAGAAAAUAAAGCAUCAUAAGGGCAAAAGGAAGGCAGAAAUGGACACUGGGCAGAGGAGAAGCUUGAGAAAAGCCACUGAGAUGAGAAACAGCUGGUUUAUAUAAGACGUAAAGAGAGAUGAAUGUUGAGAGGCGAGCAAGGGAUCGUGCACUCGAAUAAUGACAAGAGGCAUUCUUCCAUUCGGUCCUCCUUCUACUUCAUCUGUACUCAGGGCCUUUUGAUGUGGUGUCAGGCUCUGCCCGUGUGACUCAAGCAAGGAGAUUACAUGUUUCACUACAUAAUCAAAGCUACACGUGUCAUCUGGCCUAAUUUAAAAGAGAGCAGAAAUCAUACCCCUUUACAUGCAGAUUGAUAUGGUUUGGCUGUGUCCCCACCCAAAUCUCGAGUUGUAGCUCCCAUAAUUCUCACGUGUCAUGGAAGGGAUCCAAUGGGAGGUCAUUGAAUCAUGGGGUGGGUUUUUCCUGGGCUGUUCUCCUGAUAGUGAAGUCUCAUGAGAUUUGAUGGUUAUAAAGGGGAGUUCCCCUGCCACGUGAGAUGACCCUUUGCUCUUUCUUUGCCUUCUGCCAUGAUUUUGAGGCCUCCGCAGCCAUGUGAAACUGUGAGUCCAUUAAACCUCUUUCAUUUAUAAAUUACCCAGUCUUAGGUAUGUCUUUUUUAGCAGCGUGAGAAUGGACGAAUACACAGACAUUCAAAUGUAAGGUCAUAAAGUUACUCAAGUAGACUCAUGAAGAAUUAGAGACUCCUGAAGGCUUAGGCCACAUAACUAUGGGAUGCAUAGAACAACCGACUUUUCUCCAUCACAAAACUGGAGGUGGAAAAUUCUAUCUUAACUUGGAAACCUUUGUAUUACUAAGAUUAUAAAGCAUAUUCGUGAGAAUUUAUUCUCUGCUGAUAACUUAUGGAAAAUCGAUUUCAUUGACUAUACUAAGAUUAUAAAGCAUCUAUAUUCGUGAGAAUUUAUUCUCUGCUGAUAACUUAUGGAAAAUCUAUUUCUUUGACUAUAAAUGAGUGUUCUCAACAUUGGUAAACAUUGUAAUCACCCAGAUCUGAAAUUGUUUUUGCCAAAAUUAAAACAAUGAGAAAAUUAUGACAGUGAAGAGAUCUGACCUAACCAACUCCAUGUUGCUUCUAACCUCCAAGCUGCCCUUGUUCAUUCCUCAGCAUAGGCUGAACUAACUUUGGGAGGAACUUGGUUUAUAGUUUAAUCCUGAGACAAAGAUAACAGCCCUUUUCUGAAACAAACUCCCUUCUUGCCUGGGGACCAGACUGCUCUGUAAGACUAACAAGUUAGCCACA